rnacentral:rRNA from 1 species
AAAACAUCGCCUCCUGCAACAUAACCAAGUAUAGGAGGUCCAGCCUGCCCAGUGACUACAAGUUCAACGGCCGCGGUAUUUUGACCGUGCAAAGGUAGCGCAAUCACUUGUCUUUUAAAUAGAGACCUGUAUGAAUGGCUAAACGAGGGCUUAACUGUCUCCCCUUUCAAGUCAGUGAAAUUGAUCUGCCCGUGCAGAAGCGGACAUAAUAAUACAAGACGAGAAGACCCUUUGGAGCUUAAGGUACAAAACUCAACCACGUUAAGCAACUCAUUAAAAAGUAAAAACCUUGUGAAUCAUGAAAUUUUACCUUCGGUUGGGGCGACCACGGAGGAAAAACAAGCCUCCAAGUGGACUGGGACACUUUCCUAAAACCAAGAGAAACAUCUCUAAGCCACAGAAUAUCUGACCAAACAUGAUCCGGCUAAUAAGAGCCGAUCAACGAACCAAGUUACCCUAGGGAUAACAGCGCAAUCCUCUCCCAGAGUCCAUAUCGACGAGGGGGUUUACGACCUCGAUGUUGGAUCAGGACAUCCUAAUGGUGCAGCCGCUAUUAAGGGUUCGUUUGUUCAACGAUUAAAGUCCUACGUGA